ACGCACUGCGCCCUGACUCCGCAUACAACGCUCAUUCCUCUCUUUGGCUCGUGAAGUCGUGAUGAAACCCUUCCUUGUCUCUCCCUCUCUCGAUCUACGCCGCCAGCUCCCUUCCCUCGAUCUGCACUCGGCUCUUCCACUGCGGCACAGCAAGGGAGGAAGAUGGGAUUGGCGGGCGAGCGGCUGCGGGGCGCGGGCGGCCUGCGGCGGGCGAGGGCCUGUCGGUCGCGGCCGCGGGCGAGGGCCUGCGGGGCGGCGAAGAGGGGAUACUCCAGCGGGCUACCAGCGGCGGGAGAGGCUUAGCGCCUGCUUCUUCUCCUGAAGGUACGAACCGGCCCUUCUCCCACCUUGUAUAUUUGCAGCUUGUCCCGUCUUUCCUACCCAGCCGAGAGAGAGAUAGAUAGGAUAUUGAGAUGGCACUCAUGGCUAUUUUUAAUUAAUUUUGUACCUCUGUGUUGUUCAAACAACUGGGCUCACACCUGACUGCCAUAAGAGCAAGCUGAAAAUGGUGUAAUCGACUGUAAUCCAGCGAGAAGCUAGGAUGACUCUUCUUGCGCACGGCUGUAAUCGAUUUCUGCAAAUAUGUAGUUGCAAUACUAUUAGUUUACAUGACCAACCAGCUUAAAUCUAGCAAUACUUAUCCGGAAUGGAAUAACGUGUCCAGCCAACUUAACAUAUUCUUUUAAUUGUACAGCUCCAACUAGAAAGCUAUCUUUUGCGCGGAAAUUAGUUGUAAAUUAAAUUAAUAACCGGGAAAUUGUCUCUUCUUGGAAUGUUAUGAUAAAAAUCAACAAUUUUAAUGAUGGAGAUCUGCUUCAGUUGUAUGCUCUCUUGUAGCAAGGAAAGUGUGCUGGAUGGUUUAUCCCCUAUGUGCUUGGUUAUGUCUUAAGGUUCAAACGAAAGAAGUACUGAAACUCUGAAAGUCUGUUCUUUCCAUGCCACCAAACUGCUAGAUUGAACAACUAGCACGAGAGAUUUAUUGUGCAACUAAUGGAUAGUUUCAGUUUUUAGAUCAAAAAUAUUUCCUACAAUACUUGUUAAACUACUUCGGAGUGGAAUUAAUGUAGCUCUUUUGGUUCCCUUAUUUUUUUCAGGAUCAUCGCCAACUCACUGCUGCUCAUAGAGGUGAGUCAAAGGCUGUAACAAUCUCUGUUAUUAUUUUGCUGCUCAGUUAGGAGUUCGAGAAAUCAUAAAUUACCUGACAGAUAAUGCAACCAAAACACAAGAAGAGAAACAUAUAUGGUGAUGAUGUCUAUCAUGCUUUUGCAGGUAGUAGUAUGCAUCCACACAAUUCAAAUUCAUGUUCAGGAAGGAUAUUGACCAACUAACCAUGUAUUAAUUGUAUAGUUAAAUUUGUUGUUUUACUUCUAUCCGAACUGAGUUCUAACAAUCAAUAUUUGAUUCUGCUACAGACUUCCAAGGACAGUUACAACAAUUCUGGAGCAUGUAUCGUCCUCAAUCCUCCUGAUUUUGCUACCGCCAUUUCCAUAGUAUUCAAGAUGUAAAACCUCGACCUGUGGUAUGUGAUUAAUAUUGGGUUCCUAAGCUUGAAAUGUUUAUGGCAUGAAUAGUACUUGAUUCUAUCAUGUUUAUGUAGUAUCAAUUAUUUUUGCUGGAAGACUACCGUGAGGAAAAUGAUGUACAAGAGGAAGUCAAGGAAAGAGGUGUUGCCCUGAAGGAUCUCAUCGAGUGUAGGCGCGAGCGUGUGCCCGAAAGGGAUGAGGCGGUGGAGGCAUGGAGGGGUGUCGUUAUUGUGUACACAAGACAUGACUUCAGGAGACGUGCAACGCACGUGCAAGCUUACUAGUAGACACUAAAACAAGCAACUCGACACACUAUGCAACCGAAAAUUCAACAAUGCAAAAACGAAGUGGUAAUAGGGAAAAGGCUCAAACUGUCUGGGACAUAGAUGAACUAAUCUAACUUUUUGUGGCUUUUUCGUGGACUAUAUGUAUGAAGAACGGAUGCAAUCUAGACUACGAAAAACUGAAAAAUCUCGUCGAGCAACCUGAAAAACCGAUACCACUUGCUAGAAGCGAGGGUCUCGAUCUUUCGAUGAGAUGAUAAUUAUCGAUAUGGUGGAGAUGAC
rnacentral:lncRNA from 1 species